GAUGAAGAACGUAGCGAAAUGCGAUAAGUAAUGUGAAUUGCAGAAUUCCGUGAAUCAUCGAAUCUUUGAACGCACAUUGCGCCCUCUGGUAUUCCGGGGGGCAUGCCUGUCCGAGCGUCAUUUGCAACCCUCAAGCCCGGCUUGUGUGAUGGGUGCCGUCCCCUACGGGACGCGCCCCGAAGGCAAUGGCGGCGUCGCGGUUAUCCGAUCAGCCAAAGUGUAUGGGGCUUUGUCACUCACUUUACGGCCCGGACCGGCGCCAGUCCGAAUCAAUCUUUUUUCUAAAGUUGACCUCGGAUCAGGUAGGGAUACCCGCUGAACUUAAGCAUAUCAAUAAGCGGAGGA
rnacentral:misc_RNA from 1 species